CCUGCUUUGUUGUAAUAUAGCAUAACAACUUUUCGUGUUGUUGGUGGUGUUUUACCAAGCAGAG
rnacentral:tRNA from 1 species